AGCCCAGUAGUGUAGCGGUCAAGCAUGUGGGGCCCUGAACCCCGCGACCACGGUUCGAAUCCGUGCUGGGCUA
rnacentral:tRNA from 1 species